GCCUGAUCCAGCAAUGCCGCGUGAGUGAAGAAGGCCUUCGGGUUGUAAAGCUCUUUUGUCAGGGAAGAAACGGCCUGUUCUAAUACAGUGGGCUAAUGACGGUACCUGAAGAAUAAGCACCGGCUAACUACGUGCCAGCAGCCGCGGUAAUACGUAGGGUGCAAGCGUUAAUCGGAAUUACUGGGCGUAAAGCGUGCGCAGGCGGUUUUGUAAGUUUGUCGUGAAAUCCCCGGGCUCAACCUGGGAAUGGCGAUGAAGACUGCAAGGCUAGAGUUUGGCAGAGGGGGGUAGAAUUCCACGUGUAGCAAUGAAAUGCGUAGAUAUGUGGAGGAACACCGAUGGCGAAGGCAGCCCCCUGGGUCAAAACUGACGCUCAUGCACGAAAGCGUGGGGAGCAAACAGGAUUAGAUACCCUGGUAGUCCACGCCCUAAACGAUGUCUACUAGUUGUCGGGUCUUAAUUGACUUGGUAACGCAGCUAACGCGUGAAGUAGACCGCCUGGGGAGUACGGUCGCAAGAUUAAAACUCAGAGGAAUUGACGGGGACCCGCACAAGCGGUGGAUGAUGUGGAUUAAUUCGAUGCAACGCGAAAAACCUUACCUACCCUUGACAUGGCUGGAAUCCCCGAGAGAUUG
rnacentral:rRNA from 1 species